rnacentral:rRNA from 1 species
GAUGAACGCUAGCGGCAGGCCUAAUACAUGCAAGACGAACGGUAAGUUGAGUAGCAAUACUUAGCCAAGAGUGUCGUACGGGUGCGUAACACGUAUGCAACCUAUCCUAUACAGGAGGAUAGCCUAGGGAAACCUGGAUUAACCCUUCAUAGUAUUAUUGGAUGGCAUCAUUUGAUAAUUAAAACUGAGGUGGUAUAGGAUGGGCAUGCGUCUGAUUAGUUAGUUGGCGGGGUAAUGGCCCACCAAGACGAUGAUCAGUAGGGGUUCUGAGAGGAAGAUCCCCACACUGGCACUGAGAUACGGGCCAGACUCCUACGGGAGGCAGCAGUAGGGAAUAUUGGUCAAUGGAUGCAAGUCUGACCAGCCAUGCCGCGUGCAGGAAGAAGG